rnacentral:rRNA from 1 species
AUUGAACGCUGGCGGCAGGCCUAACACAUGCAAGUCGAACGGUAACAGGAAGCAGCUUGCUGCUUUGCUGACGAGUGGCGGACGGGUGAGUAAUGUCUGGGAAACUGCCCGAUGGAGGGGGAUAACUACUGGAAACGGUAGCUAAUACCGCAUAACGUCGCAAGACCAAAGAGGGGGACCUUCGGGCCUCUUGCCAUCGGAUGUGCCCAGAUGGGAUUAGCUUGUUGGUGAGGUAACGGCUCACCAAGGCGACGAUCCCUAGCUGGUCUGAGAGGAUGACCAGCCACACUGGAACGGAGACACGGUCCAGACUCCUACGGGAGGCAGCAGUGGGGAAUAUUGCACAAUGGGCGCAAGCCUGAUGCAGCCAUGCCGCGUGUAUGAAGAAGGCCUUCGGGUUGUAAAGUACUUUCAGCGGGGAGGAAGGGGAUGUGGUUAAUAACCGCGUUCAUUGACGUUACCCGCAGAAGAAGCACCGGCUAACUCCGUGCCAGCAGCCGCAGUAAUAC